ACGUGAUCUGAGUUCAGACCGGAGCAAUCCAGGUCAGUUUCUAUCUAUAAAGAGUCUUUCCUAGUACGAAAGGACCGAAAAGACAAGGCCCAUGUUUUAACAAGCCUUACUUACUAAUCUAUGUAUCAACCUCAAUAGCUUAUUUAACUACCACAUAACUCAAGAUAAGAAA
rnacentral:rRNA from 1 species